rnacentral:rRNA from 1 species
AACGUAGGAGACAAACGUUAUCCGGAGUUACUGGGCGUAAAGGGCGCGUAGGCGGCCGAUCAAGUCAGAUGUGAAAGUCCUGGGCUUAACCUGGGGACUGCAUUUGAUACUGAUUGGCUUGAAUGCAGGAGAGGAUAGCGGAAUUCCCAGUGUAGAGGUGAAAUUCGUAGAUAUUGGGAAGAACACCGGUGGCGAAGGCGGCUAUCUGGACUGUGAUUGACGCUGAGGCGCGAAAGCGUGGGGAGCAAACAGG